GUGGCUGAGUGGUUAAGGCGAUGGACUCCUAAUCCUUUGUGCUGUGCAUGUAUGGGUUUGAAUCCCAUC
rnacentral:tRNA from 1 species